ACGUGGGGGCGGGAGAACAAAGCUGCUGCCUCCGUGUAACCCGGGGCUCCGAGCUGAGCAGGCUGCAGAAUGAUGUCCAUGUUUCGCUCCAGUUCAUCCCAGCCUCCCAUGGGACAGGGGAGAGAAAUGGCUGCAGAGGAGUCAGUCCAGGCAGGAGCCGGUGACCUUUGAGGAGGUGGCUGUGUAUUUCACCAGGGAAGAAUGGGCUCUGCUGGACCCCACUCAGAGAGCCCUCUAUUGGGAUGUCAUGCAGGAGAACUAUGAGAACGUGACCUUGCUGGUUUCUCGAUAACCAGUGUGGGGGAUCAGAAGCACAGUUUGUGAGUGGUUGGUGAAUUUAACUUCAGUGUUUACCACCAGUUUUGGGAGCAUCUGCUCUGCCCUUUUCAGCCUACCCUGAUCUUGGCAUUUUCAGUGAGGACUGCCCCAGGCA